CAAGUCCACACAAGCAAGCAAUAAAAUAAACACAUUUUGGGCUAUCGGGUUAGGGUGACGGCAGGGGAGGGAAGGCUGGGGGAGUAUUGCAGCUGAAAAUGUUGUUGCCAUCAUCGUCUCAUAGGAUGGUUCUACAAGUUGAAUAGGAAGGAUGAUGCUGCAAAUUUUUUGAUGGGCUUGAUGGUGCAGUCCCCAAAGAAAUUCGAAGCACAAGUGAGUGGAGGACAAAAAUUUCAAAGUGGCAGCUGAAGGCAUUGGAGACUGCACUGUUGUUUUUGCUCGCUAUGAAUGCUUGCCUGUUGUUGGUUGUAGUUCAUUACGACCUUGGAUUGUAUGUUUUCAAAGUGUUAGGUGGGUACUUGUAGUCUGUAGAUUGUGAUUAAAGUGGUAGAUAGACCACUUAUUAUUGUUGUAUUUCUGUAAUAUCAAGUGGCACAUGGGCCUCAUAUUCUUGUUAAAUGAAAAAAGGAUAAGUAUCCUCGUUUCUAUGAAUUUUUUAAGUGCCUGUUGGUGGUUAUAAGUUA